GACCUCCUGAAGAGCGCUGAUCCUGCAUUGUACACGUGGUUCUUCUCCUGUGCCUCCCCACUUGUCAGAUAAUUUCUUGAGGACAUGGAUGACUCUCUGGCACCGACAGUUCCAGUCCAGGGACACCUCUGUGUGGUUUCUGAGAAGGAUGAGGAGUUCAAGAAGUGAAGACUCUGUCGUACAUAAAGAGAAAACAAUUUCACUGUGCAAUCCAGGAGAGACAAAGCAGUGUAGCAUGUGGCUUCAGGAUUCCGGCCAGCAGAGUAACUGGAUUUUCAUACAGAUUUCCAUCUCUCUGAGAGGCAACCUAAGUACUUCAGGGGACUGUGAACCCAGCUCCAGGGCCAGGGUGGAAUGA
rnacentral:lncRNA from 1 species